AUGCAGCAGGUGACCAUGUCUCCUUCCAUCUGCCUCGCCAUCUUGUUGCUUGCACUGGUCUCGCCGUCACCGGCAUCAGCCAGCAUUACCAACAACAAUGGCGUCGCCGUCGCGGCCCCUAGAGUGCCCGUGGCGUUCCAGUUCCUGCAGGGGCACAACGACGCGCGCCGCGAGGUCGGCGUGGCACCCCUGGAGUGGAACUGGACGCUGGGGCAGGACGCCAAGCGGUACGCGGCCCAGCUCGUCGUCCGCUGCAAGCUGGAGCCGCCAAAGUACAUCCCGCCGAUCUACGCGCGGAACAGGUACUGGGGCAGCGGGAAACAAGACGGCGCCGCCGCCACCGGCUCGUGGGUGUACGAGCGGCGGUGGUACGACCACGGCGCCAACGCGUGCGCGCCCGGCAAGGAAUGCGGGUCCUACAAGUUGGUGGUGCGGAACACCACGCGAGAGCUCGGCUGCGCCUGCCGCACCUGCCGCGGCAGCAACGACACCGUGGCUGUUUGCAGCUACUCCCCUGGCGGCAACUUCGCCGACCCGCCAUACUGA
rnacentral:rRNA from 1 species